rnacentral:rRNA from 1 species
UACGUAGGGGGCAAGCGUUGUCCGGAUUUACUGGGCGUAAAGGGCGCGUAGGCGGUCAGCACAAGUCAGUUGUGAAAUCUCCGGGCUUAACUCGGAAAGGUCAACUGAUACUGUGCGACUAGAGUGCGGAAGGGGCAACUGGAAUUCUCGGUGUAGCGGUGAAAUGCGUAGAUAUCGAGAGGAACACCUGCGGCGAAGGCGGGUUGCUGGGCCGACACUGACGCUGAUGCGCGAAAGCCAGGGGAGCGAACAGG